rnacentral:misc_RNA from 1 species
AACGCACCUUGCGCUCCUUGGUAUUCCGAGGAGCAUGCCUGUUUGAGUGUCAUGAAAUUCUCAACUGCUUCGGCUUUGUUCGAAGUGAAGUUGGACGUGAAGCGCUUGCUGGCCUGUUCCGGCUCCUUCCAAAAGCAUAAAGCCUUUUCUCAGUAGAUCUUGGCAGAAAAAGUAUCUUUGACGUGAUAAUCAUCUACGUCGCAGAGAAAGCCUUGAGCAGAGCUCUUCUUCGUUCUUGUGAUGAGGAAGGCUCCUACGGGAUGGCUCACCUGGAGGGGGGUUAUCAUAUGAUGAUCCCUUUCGUUUGACCAAUUCGACCUCAAAUCAGGCAGGACUACCCGCUGAACUUAA